GGUGGUGUGGUGUAAUGGUAGCACGUGACGUUGUGGUUACAGCACAUGAAUCCGUUUCAAUCUGGGUUCGAUUCCCAGCACCGCCA
rnacentral:tRNA from 1 species